UUCUGUGACGGGCUCUGUGCUUUUGUUUCUUUGAUAAUUGAAAUAAAGAUCGUUUCUUUAAAACUUUGAUCUUUAACUGGUUGGGUCGUUUGAUAAUUUUGUAUAAACAGGAGUUUACUUUUUUAGUGAAGACUUUUGACCUUAAAAAAAACAGCAGUAGCAAUUAGCUAGUAGGAAAAGAGAGUUGACCCAAUUUUUGAUCUUCUGUUGGGCUCUGCAGAAGAACGUUUGAGCGUUACACGGUGCGGAUUCUUCAUCCCCAGAAAAAGGACUUUCCGGUCUCAAAGGAAAUGGAGGUAUACGGCAAAGCCAUGGCUGCUGCCCCUGCAAAUGUUAUUUAUUUGUCUACUAUUCUGGGCCGUGAUGGUCCUUUUCUUGUUCACAAAUGCGAUUGGAAAUGUCAAAACGAGCAUGUUUGUGGCAACAUGUAUCGCUGCAAACUAACAGGGAUCACACACAUCUGUGACAAGAACUGUAACCAGAGAAUUUUGUAUGAUAACCAUAGUUCCCUUUGCCGAGCAAGCGGCCAGGUCUUUCCCCUCACUCAAGCUGAGGAACAGGCGGUCAGAGGCGUCAGGAGGAAACUCGAUGCCGAUAAUUCCCCAUCCCCCGAUGGCUGUGGUUUUAAGCGCAGGCGUGAUGCACAGUUCCAUCCUUCUCCUUUCGAGAGAUCUUUCUCUGCUGCAAAAUUUUUUCAUUGCUUCUGUUGGAUGGAGAAACCAAUGGAAAGGUGCCAUGUUAUGCUUGUGUCCUGCUAGGGAUCUCCUGUAGAAUGCAAGGGCGUUCAACCUUACUCAAGUCGAACAUAUUGUUGCCAUCUUCAGACAGCAACCAGCUUUGAUGGGGAUAACAAACUGAUGUGGGGUGUCUUUCUGCACGUCUGGUUGUGAACAUGAGUUUAUGAUGUCAUCUUUCUGAAUAGAUAAUUUUGAGGUCUGAACAUUGUUUACCAACUG